rnacentral:rRNA from 1 species
GCAGUCGAGCGGUAGAGAGGUGCUUGCACCUCUUGAGAGCGGCGGACGGGUGAGUAAUGCCUAGGAAUCUGCCUGGUAGUGGGGGAUAACGCUCGGAAACGGACGCUAAUACCGCAUACGUCCUACGGGAGAAAGCAGGGGACCUUCGGGCCUUGCGCUAUCAGAUGAGCCUAGGUCGGAUUAGCUAGUUGGUGAGGUAAUGGCUCACCAAGGCGACGAUCCGUAACUGGUCUGAGAGGAUGAUCAGUCACACUGGAACUGAGACACGGUCCAGACUCCUACGGGAGGCAGCAGUGGGGAAUAUUGGACAAUGGGCGAAAGCCUGAUCCAGCCAUGCCGCGUGUGUGAAGAAGGUCUUCGGAUUGUAAAGCACUUUAAGUUGGGAGGAAGGGCAUUAACCUAAUACGUUAGUGUUUUGACGUUACCGACAGAAUAAGCACCGGCUAACUCUGUGCCAGC